rnacentral:rRNA from 1 species
GGCGAGUGAAGCGGCAAAAGCUCAAAUUUGAAAUCUGGUACCUUCGGUGCCCGAGUUGUAAUUUGGAGAGGGCAACUUUGGGGCCGUUCCUUGUCUAUGUUCCUUGGAACAGGACGUCAUAGAGGGUGAGAAUCCCGUGUGGCGAGGAGUGCGGUUCUUUGUAAAGUGCCUUCGAAGAGUCGAGUUGUUUGGGAAUGCAGCUCUAAGUGGGUGGUAAAUUCCAUCUAAAGCUAAAUAUUGGCGAGAGACCGAUAGCGAACAAGUACAGUGAUGGAAAGAUGAAAAGAACUUUGAAAAGAGAGUGAAAAAGUACGUGAAAUUGUUGAAAGGGAAGGGCAUUUGAUCAGACAUGGUGUUUUGUGCCCUCUGCUCCUUGUGGGUAGGGGAAUCUCGCAUUUCACUGGGCCAGCAUCAGUUUUGGUGGCAGGAUAAAUCCAUAGGAAUGUAGCUUGCCUCGGUAAGUAUUAUAGCCUGUGGGAAUACUGCCAGCUGGGACUGAGGACUGCGACGUAAGUCAAGGAUGCU